AUGGAUGAAAUGCCUCAAGCGGAGUUUUUGAUUCGAAGAAAGCUAAACCCCUACGUCAAGCCUAGAGAACUCAGCAGGGGAAAUGACUUGUUUUGGACCAAGCAACAACAUCUCAUCUUCAUAGAUGUGAUCAAGGCCAAGCAGAACAUCUAUGUGCUAGUUCAAUGGAUUGACAUGGACCAUCUGAAGAAGAACCGGGCAUAUUUGGUGAGACUCCGGAUUUGGUGGAGCAGUUUGGUAUUGAGAAAAUCAUCACUUUCCAUCUUGACUUUGACCCGGAGCUGGUGGCUCAGUUCUUUGCUUCUGUUCACUUCCACACGGAUGAGAAGCGGACCAUGA
rnacentral:rRNA from 1 species